UAUAGAGGUCCAUCCAUGAAGACCAGAAUUUUCUAUCCUGCAACAGUAAAGAGUUAAUAUCCCUGAGAUAUUCUACUGUUGUACAUCUGUAAAAAAGAAGCCAAAGCAAACCUAAAAGAAUUUAGUAUGGAAAACAUAUUCCAGCUUCAAUGACACACUGGGGUUUUGUUUAGGUUUCUUCAUUACAAUGACUCACAGUAUGUAAACUUCACAUGCAGUUACUGAAGUCAUGUGUCUGCCUUAUUUUAGCUUCAAAAACAGCAGCAAUGCCAACAUCCUUUGCUGCCUUUGAGACUUGACAAGUCCUGAAAGCCAACAAUGCUAUGGUCCCAUUGUAAGCACUGUGUUGCUUUUUCACCCUUUGGCUAGAAAAUAAAGGUGAUGAUUCUCCAGGUGAGCCUUCUCCACCUCAGGUGCUCCUUUCAGUACCCUGGCACUGGUGAUGCUGGCUGGACUCUGCUGCUGUCAGCAAUGGAGGGAUCCCCGUUUGGGAUGGUCUGACAAAAGGAUGUCUCAUUCUCUGUCUCUCCUGCCUCCAGCAGAAGUGAACCAUGCACAGGUGAGAGAGACUCAGCUCAGCUAAUUUUAGAUGUCUACAGUGUCUAUCAAUACAUCUGAGCCUCUUGCCCUGUAGGCAAUUUAAAGGACAAGAUGAGAAUUUCUUUGAAGCCUGAAAACAAACUCCAGGCAUCUCUUCAGAGAAUCAUCAUGAAUCUGCUCUUCACUAAGCUCCCUCCAAUCAACUGUGUGCAUUUUACCUCCCAGAAAAUGGAACAUGGAGAGACAAGGGAAGGGGAGCCAGCAGGGCUUGGGUGGCAGCACACUGGCCAAAGGACAGGGCAGCUCUUAAUCAGAUUGCCUUUUAAUUCUUCACAUGACUUAAAGGCAUUAUGUGCUAAGAUUGAGGAUACAGGUGAAUCCAGUAAAGGCAGUGAUAGAACAAAGCGUUGCAGCAUGGGGAGUAUUUUGUCAAUAUUCUGUCAAAUGCUGUCCAGGCACAGUUUAGUAAUCACUAAAUCAUGCCAGUGAGAGGAAUCCUUGGCUUCAGUGCAAUGUCUUUGUCCCACACACUAAAAUUCUGCCUUUUGAUGCCUAAAAAUGUCCACAGAAAUUUGGGAACUGAUGGAGCAUGUGGAAGUCAUGCUGCUAAAGACAGAUCUCUGAUAUUAAUGAGAGAUAUUCAUUGUUGACUAAAGGCUGUUUCCAAAUCCCUUGGCUAACUUGUGGCUGCACAACAUUAAAUUUAUAUUUUGAUUGCCCUGCCAUUUUACAGUAUGAAAGACUCAUAAAAAUAUGGUAUGAGUUCUUAGCCUC